rnacentral:lncRNA from 1 species
CUGCAAAUGCACUAAUGAUGCAUAAUUAUCAUCGCUGCAAGCCUUCUACACAUCUGGGCAAAUGGCUCCAGCUUCCAUGAUGAUUCUCCUAUUUUACCCAAUUCUGUGUUUGAAUGGUUCCAUACUGCCCCUGGUAGCAGUAACAGUUGGCUUCUAGGAGUUAUUUAGGACUUACUGAGAUGAAUACUUGAAGGAUCUUUCUGUUGUGACGCACAUGGUCUGAGAUCAAGUGGACCCUCUUGUAAUCUAAGCUGGGAGCCUAAGAGCUUAGUUUUCCUGGAUCACAUACUCCUCAUCCUCAACUCCCUUCCUAUCUUUGGAGUGUGUCAGGGGACAAAUCUCCACCUCUUUCUGCCAGUUCCCCCUCCUGAGCCUGCAUCACAUAAUGCUGUAAAAAACAGCAUUAAAAAUUUGCAGUACCUAACACUCGGAAGCCACUGGAGAAUCCACUGACAGAUUAACCAGAGAGCUUCAACAUCUACAAGCUUUGAUCCAAUAUGCAACCCACCCAAAUGGGCUGAGAUGCCCUGAAGAGUCAUUCUCCACAGCUGGAAACAAUUCCGCCUUUCAGACUGAAGCCUGGAUGUGAAAGGAGCCCAUGACCGCGGCAUCUUCCAGGUGUGGCCAAGCUGCUGUGGAGCUCCAGGGCAGCCCAGGCACAGCCACACCUUCCCACCUUUCCUUUAUUUGUCAUUCAGCUACUCGUUUCGGGAGUAACCUCUUUCACUUCCAUCACUGCACCCAG